AGCGCCACGCAAUUAAUGCAGAUUCCUGAUACGCGAUGUUCCAGUUCUACCAACCGAGUGUAGACGUGAUUAAUGGCGAACUUCAGAGCCAGGUUGCUAUUAAUUCUCUCUUAUUAACCUGUUUGUUUGUUUGCGGAAGUACAUACAGUAAGUACUUUCUUCGCGAUCAAUAUUUAAAAAACUUCGAAUUCGACGUUAACAAAUUUUUAAAUGUAGAUUUUUGUUUUCAUUUAAAGUCGCAUUCAACUAUCAGUGUUGUUAGCGAUUACUUUUUGGUUAAAACAAUGCACAUGUUUUCUGCUAAAGGCUCUAGUACUCUAAGGUCCGGUGGCUUCUGCUAUCGACUCAAAGACACUGAUAGAUACUGUAAUUAUCUCGGUACUUAUCAUAGAGAUUACACGCAGAAUGAAUAACAAUAAAUUUUGUGAACGGUUGAGGUAUUAUCUACACGAGGUAUGUAUGUGUCUAUGUACUUAUAGUUUUAGAUGAAUUCCGAAUUACCAGAACCAUGCUGAGAUAAACAAUACAACUACCACAGGGGUGGCGGCUGAAAAUUCGCCUGCCGGUCACGAAUCAUAGAUCUGUUUCAGUUACUAAAUAUUAUAACCAGUACCACGCUUUAGGCAUUUUAUACAUUUUUAGACAUUAUCUAUAUCUUGUAUUUAUUUACAUCUGUGAAAUUGUAACAUUUGUAAGAAUAUAUGCAUAAAUAUCUGCAGUUUACUUCUAAGAUUUAGGAUGACCAUGAUGAACAGUUCGGAAGCAAGAAGCAAGAAAAUGCACGAUCGAUAUUGCUAUGCAUAUUGGCAGAAACUUUCUCUAAAGAAGUUUCUUUUUCAAGGUUAAUGACUCAACUGGGAAAGAAGGGAAUCACGAUAAUCGUUCGAGCCGAAGUUGUUAUUACAGGCAACAAUGGAGUUUCAAUUGCGUUAUCGUGGUACGCGAUUGUACGUAACACUCGUAUAGAAUUGCAGUUCUAUUGUAUUGCGUAUUGUAUCGCAAUGUACCAGGUCACGAAUUCAAACUAUCUAGUAUUGCACAGCGGUCAUCCACCGUUUAUCCUGUCCGCAGGUUUAAGGCCGGAGUGCAUGAAAUGUAUUGCGUUAUUCCUAGUUAUGAUUCAAGAAAAUUUUCGCGUACCAUUCAUGCGAACAUCGCUAUAUCUUCAAUCUAUUCAUCUUACUAUUACGCAACGAGUAAGGCUUUGUUACGAAAUUGUUAUGCUUUGCUUAUUAAACAAAGUUACGACAAUUAACAAAGGAUAGUAACCUACGAAACAUCGUUCAUACUAUCGCAAUAUUUGUUACCAUAAAAUUCAAGUCCUAAUUUAUGUGACUUUUUCAUCCAAUUUUCACCGAUGCAUUGAUAUUUGACAGGGACGAUUAACUGAAAAUUUUGCCGGUCGUAGAAACGACAAAGAAUACGAAUUAAGCGAGAAAGACUACCGUGCCCAGUGAAUCGUGACAGUCAUACAUCGUCGACUCUGUGGGUUACAUAAAUACCACCUACACAUUCCACUGGUAUUACGUUGUCAAAAUCAAACGGGACCUUUCAGUGGUUUCUUGAACAAACUUCGAAGUCCAUGGCAGCCCAUAAAUCACCCGGUAACAAUAUACUUCGAAGAAUCCGAAGAAGCCCUUUGCAGUGCAGUAAAAAUUCAACCGGACAACCUGGAAUCCCAUAAAUCUCCCACGACGCAUAUGUCCACGGGGACGUUCGCAUUUACUCUGUAUGCUUUAUCCAUGAAAGGAUCGCGCGGAUCUCAGCAGCGCGCCCUCUCGGUCGGAACGCGAAAUAGGAUCGUACACUCAAAUUCGUCGCUUCAAAGGGGUACUUCUUGCGCGGGUAUUUUCGGAAAAAACAUACCUUGUUGACAGUUCGUUGGCACGAAGGCGUAGCCGAGAAUUAGAAACGUCAGAAUCAUGUCGACGAAACGGUUAUCGUUCGUUUUGUGUCUCGACAUCCUCUCCUGGCCACUUGUUCACACCGCGCACUUUUUCGUAUCGGCACGAUUUCGAGGCAGUUCGCCCGACUGUCAGUGCAACACUGUCAUCGUAACGACGCUGAAAUUCGCGAACCUUUUUCGUCACGUUGUGUUUGAGCCCGUUGAUUUAUCGAGCAGCGACGAGCGGGCACAUCCUCGCAGAAGAAAAGAGACGAGUUCGCGAGCACGGCACGUUUGUCACUGGCCACGGGUAGAAAGCAAAAUCCUACUUUCACUUGGUGGCUGCGAGCCUCGCGAGGCGGAGCUGGCACGUCGAGGCCAUCGCGAUCUUUCCCUCUCCUUUCUGUUCUGUGACUUCUCCUCUGCCUCUUUUCUCGUGUACACGUCUUUGUGACGAUCAACGAGAGGGAGCCGAUACUUAGAAAAACCGCGGGGACGGGUUUUAGGAAAAAUUUGAGAACGUCCGGGUACGACCUUUCUUGUAUCUUCGCGAAGGUCGCUAGUGAGGAUCAACGAUCUUUCGCAACGAUUUUAGAACCGGGAGGCAGUGUUUUCGACGCCGAGCCGAGCCCCUCGAGUCGAGGCUCUUUUGCAUCCUACGAAUAAAAGAGAUUCUUAUAAAACGAAUUAUUUUCUUCUGUAGAUAAUCUUGAUCUCUUUUCUUUCACGGAUAUAACGAAAUUAGUGAAAAGAUACAGUUUUUGAAUAAUCAUUAAUCACAAAAUUGCUUUGAUAUUAUUUUUGUGUUUAUUAUUAUUAUUAUAUAUAUAUUGUAAUUUUUCCAUAUUUUCAUUAGCUAGAAAGUAAUAGAAUCCCAAUAUCCGAAUUCUAUAUUUUAUAUUUUAGACAAAUAUGUUACAUAAGGAUCCUCUAGUUUCAUUAAUGUUCUGUAAUUUCAAAGUUACAUAUCUAUAUGUGCGUAUUUCGAUAAUUUUAUCUAUCUAGAUUAAAGUAGAAAGCUGCAAUCGAUAUACAAUACAAUAUAUUUUAAAACUCUGAUCAUAGAUGGUAGUAAUUCUGUUCUACAAUGUGGAAUAUUACACAGUCAGUUUAUCGUACCAAUCACUGCUAACUUUAAAAACAUGUUAGCAUUAUGUUUUAUCACACCAUUUUAAUUCAUCGUUGAAGAAUUGAAAAGUCCUACAUUUAUCGGUAUCUAAUUCCAGAAACAUUUUAACGUAUUUCACGUGAUACACAUUAAUCUCCGCUCAUUAUGCUUCUCAUAAAGCCCAACUUUGUAUGCAAGCUAUAUGUGUGUUUAGUAUCCUUACUUUGGUUCCAUCUAUCGUUUUUUAGAGGCUGGAAAGAAUGCAGCCGAAGAAUGCCAUAACACGGCCGCGUCCUUCGGUAGGACCUUCGUAAACAUUUUUUCGACGUCGAUUUUAUCCUAUCGGGAUACGUUCGUUAACCCUUACCGGGUACAGGCGACCUUUGCGAAUCGACGUAUCGUCGAUUCCGAACUGAUUCACAUCCGGCCAGAAACCAAACGGGCACGAAAGGAAAAAGACGAGCAAGGUCGACACAACCGGGGAAAGUAUUAUCAUGACGCAACAAGAUUGAAGAUGAUGUUCUAUAAUAGCUUCUAAAUUAUGCUACCACUACUUCAACGGCAUAGGGGAUUAGUAUGCCUUCACGUGCUUUACGUCACGUAUGGUUGGUUUUUGUAUUAUUUUUUAAUUUCUUGUGAUCGACUUCGUGCGAUUAUUCUAAUAAGAAAAAGUUCUAUUUCUCUCUCUCUCUUUUGAAAAUAAGCAUGUUUAUGGUUUUAGGUGUUAGGCAAGUAUGUAUAUCGAAUAAAAUUACCGCAUAUAUGAUAGUGCUAUUUAAAUAAGUGUACGAAUUUAUACUGAGUAGUACAAGGUUAUUGGUAUUAAUGUGAUUCAAAGAAUUUUAUAUAAUAAUUGAAAGUGGUAUGAAGUAUAUAUGAAUAAUAAUUUAAACAUAAUAACUUUUGAUAUCUCUCACUAUUCUCUCGAUAAUUCACAAGAAGGCUCUGUAUUUUCUUCAAGAGGUGAUUCAAUCUCUAUAAUUUGCAUUAUCGUAGCAAUGAAAAGUAAGUUUGUAUUAUGAAUGAUCUAUACCACUUGCAUACGAAGUUUCAUGACUUUUUGAAUUUUCAACUUAAUCGUUUAAACGUUCACGUUUCUGGAAUAUUUAUUUUUAAGAAUUUUAUGUACAGAUAU